CAGCCCUCUGAGUCUGAGUCCAGAUUUCUUCUCUCCUUACCUUCCUCUCCCUUGGAAACCCAACUCCUCAGCCAGGUGAGACAAUGGGCUGGUUCUUGUUUCAUUUCUCUCUCUCUCUCCAUUCCCCUCUGCCUGGUGAGCCUUCCCCUGGUGUCUGCCUGGCAGCCCCCACCUCCCACCUAUCACCCCUCACCCAUAACUCAGGUCAACGUGACCAACCUUCCUUGCUUACACAUAAACUUGUAUAUAUUUGGAUGUAGCCCUUAUUUAAUGGCUGUCAUUAUUUAUAGAUAUGUCUAUCCUUGCUACUUGGUUGUGAGUUUCUCCAGGGGAGGAACUGUGUUUUAUUCAUCUCUAUGUCCUCUGUUUCUCAGCAGUGUCUGAAAUUUAAUGGGUUCUACUGAUGUUUAUUAGAGAAAUGGAUGAAUAAAUGAAUGAAGAGAUCCAAAUUCAUGUUCACCUUGCCAAUUCACUACAUCAUCCCCUAUUUGGAGAAGAACUUUCUGGACAGUGCCCGCAUACCACCAGCAUUUUCUGUGUUUCUGUUCCCUCUCAGUCCAAGAGCCAUAAGAUCUCUAUGGUACCAGCAUCUGUGUAAGAGGAAGCAAAGAGAAGCAACAGGGUGUCUGGUGGACAUGAGAACCUAAAAUAACCAAGAUAUUUUUACCCCAAAUUUUUGACAGCUUAGCAUCUAAAAUCAAGAGGCCUUUUUGCACACUCCAAUGGUGUGUAAACACAAAGGAUUCUGUAGUAAGAUCUGCAGGAACUGGAACGGUUUGGGUCCUAUGCCUCUCAAAACUAGCCAGCUAAAAUUCCCUUCUAGAACAAAGCCCCACAGGUGAGAACUGCUGGAAACAGAAUCUAAUUCAGUCCAGGCCUAAGAGAUUAAAAAAAGAAAAAACAAAAAAGAAGCUCACAUGAAAGUGUGGAAAGGCAGUGGAGCAAGAAGCUCUCUGAAUAUAAGCCAUCAUAAUGUUGAACAUUUACUUGAAAAAAAUAAUAGAAGGUGUCCCAGAGUGAUUGAAUUAAAAAAGCUUCUCAAAACCAUACAUCUUUAAAGUUGAGGAAAGCUAAUAUAUAAAAUAAACAACAGAAAAUAAUUGAGGUUCAAACCCACAUAAAGUCAUUUUAAGAUAAAAAUAGAAUCAGGAGCAGAAUAAAGAAAAUAAAAGCAUUACAUAAAGACAUGCUUAUGGGUGAAAACUAUAAACUACAAUUUCAAACUGAGCUAAAAUAAUUAGGAAAAUAAUACAAGAUAUGAAAGAACAAUUAAUGGAAAGUACAAAAACUCAGAAAUAAGGUAAUGGGGCUCAGAAGAGAAUAAGAAAUAAAGGAAAUAUCAAUUUCAGAAAUAAUCAGUAAAAAAAAAAUGUUAAAAGUGGAUAUACAUAAUGGAUAAUGCCUUUAAAGAAAAAUAAGAUAAAACGAAGGAAAAUUCUAAAAUAAAAAAUAAACUAAAAAGUAACAUUAAAAUAAUUAGAGAGAAAGUGAUAAAUAUAAAAGAUAGGCAAAGAAGAUACAAGAUACAAGUAUACAUGUAACUGGAGUCCCUAAAGAAGAAAACUGAAGUAAAGGAACAGAACAAAUAUUCAAAACUACUAUGCUAGAAACACCUCCUGAAAUAAAAAAAAUUCGAAAUUUUGUUUUUAAAGGGCACAUUUCCUACCAGAAAAGAUGCACUCAAAAUGAUGAAUGCAAACAUACGGUCUAUUUGAACUAAUGGAUUUUUAAGAACUCAUUCUCUUUAGUGGAAAAUAUCCUUUGGGCAUUCAGGAAAAAACAAAAAAACAAAUCACUAAUAAGAGAGAAAAAUAUCAUCAGACUUAUUGACAACAACAUUUUGGGCUAGGAGAAAAUAUAAUAACACAUUUUAAAAAUAAGAAAAAAUGUGAUCCAAGGAUUAUGUUCAAUCAAAUUGACUUUUAUAUACAAAGGUCACAGAUAAACUCUCAUGAACAUGGAAGAACUCUGUGAAUACUAUUCCCAUAAGACUCUUUGUAAGAAUCUACAGGAGAAUGUCUUUAAAAAUGACCAAAAUAACUUUAGAGACACUGGCAUUAUGACUGGUGGUAAGCAUUUGAUAUAUAUUUACUUGUAGAAUUAAGACCAAAUGAAAGUUAUUAGAAAAAUAGUAUUGUAUGUAAUGGUUAUGAACUCUGACAAUGUAGUAUAAGGUAGAACUGUAAAAAAGUGGGGAGAGAAUAAGGAGAGCAUCUGCAAGUUAGUUUUUAAAAUCAUUUUAGUCAUCAUAUUAUAGUUCUAAUAUUAAUAUUGUUAUUAGAAGAAAGUUUAGUAUGAGAUGUUGAAUCAAACAAAUGAGUAAUUAUGUGAUAUUCUAGUUCCAUCAUCCCCAGUGUUUUUGAAAGUAGGAUUCUCAGUGUGGGAAAAGGAGAUACAGAUUAACACAGCAGAGGUUAAGUGAUACACUGUGUCCCUGGAUGUGAAUUAAAAAAACAAUAGGGUGAACUCAUUUAUGAACAUAUGAGGUGUUUCACCUUAAAUAAUUUUACCUUUGCUCACUGAAAGGGCCCAGAAACCCGAUCAAUAUGGUAGCAAUAAGUAUCUGUAGUACCCAAGUUGUGAUCUUAAAAUACCAUUUCCCAGUAAAAGAAAUCAACAGUUCUUAGAGAAAUGGCUGAUUUCAGGUCUGGGAUGGGAAACAUAUAAGUUAAAACAUUUUAUCAUAUAAGGUAGCAAUGAAGCUAUUAAAUAUUUCUCAUAUUGGGUCAAAAGGACUUGGGAAAUUUCUACUGUCUAAUGGGAAAAUUCCAAUGUCUAAUGGCUAAUGACAAUAUGAGCAUAAAUAGCAACAACAACUGCAAUGGGUCUGAGCUUGUUAAGUUUAAAUCAACACAUUCAUAAUAACACUAAAAAAACCCCCGAAUUGUCACUGCUAGGACAUCCACUGAAUCUACUUUUUUACUUUAAAACUUGUAAAAAAAGGGAAAGAGAAAUGUACCUAUUCUUCCUUUCCUAUACACAGAAUACAAUUGAAUAACCAAAUAGUAGAGAACUUCUCCUAAUAGAUGUACUCUAAUAAAUACAUGAAAAAGUAAUGGUAGAAAUGGAAUAUCAUCACCUUGCAAGCCCUAAUAAAAAAUCUAGGCAUUAAUGACUGUUAACGUCACACACACAGCUCCCAACUGAUGAAAGGUCUGUGGACUGUUUACCUACUCAAGCUUCCGCAAUGGUGGACACCCCUCCCCCAGCCUCGCUGCUGCCUUGCAGUUCAAUCUCAGACUGUGCUAGCAGUGAGCGAGGCUCUGUGGGAGUGGGACCCUCUGAACCAGGUGCGGGAUAUAAUCUCCUGGUGUGCCAUUUGCUAAGACCGUUGGAAAAGCACAGUAUUAGGGUGGGAGUGUCCCGAUUUUCCAGGUAUCCUCUGUCAUGGCUUCCCUUGGCUACAAAAGAGAAUUCCGUGACCCCUUGUGCUUCCCAGGUGAGGCGAUGCCCCGCCCUGCUUUGGCUCACACUCCAUGGGCUGCACCCACUGUCUGACAAGCCCCAGUGAGAUGAACCCAGUACCUCAGUUGGAAAUGCAGAAAUCGCCUGUCUUCUGCAUCACUCACGCCAGGAGCUGUAAACUGGAGCUGUUCCUAUUCGGCCAUCUUGGAACCCGUCCUGAUGUCUAAAAUUAAUCUUAAAAAAGAUUAAUUGGUAAAAUUCUAAUAAGUCUAACUGAGAAAGAGGGGGUGGAGGAGAAACAUAUAUAACUAAUGUCAGAAAUUAAGCAAGGAACGUUACUGAAGAUCAUUGAAGACAUAGUAAGAAGAUAGUAUGAAAAGCAGUAUUCAAUACAUUUGCAAACUGACAUUAAAUAGAAAAAUUCCUAAAAAGGUGCACAUCACCAAAUUUGACACAAGAAGAAACAGAAAACCUAACUUGUCCUAAACGUUAAAGAAAUGGCAUCUGUAAUUAAUACCUUCUUAUAAUAACAAAACAACACAAAACAACAAUUAAAAAAGUUAGUCUGAGGUAUCUUCACUAAUGAAUUCUACAAGAGAAGAAGUUAGAAAUAACAUCCAUUUUAAACAACCUUUUUAUAGUAGGAAAAGAGGAACACUCUCCAACUUGUUGUAUGAGGCAGCAUAAUAAAAAUACCCCCUUAUGGAAUAUUUUAGAUUUAUACAAACCUAUAGAGACUAAUAUAUUUAACUCAUACGUACCCAAAAUCUAGCUUAAAUGAUUAAUUCAUGGCUAAUUACAUUUAAACCAUACUCCCCACACAUUUCCGCAAAAGAAAUUCAUAUGUAUCAUACAAUGUCACCUAUAAACAUUUCAUUAUAUGUUGCUGAAAUAAAAUGACAGUAAGAAAUAGUCAAUAUCAUUAUCAUGCCUAAAAGAAUCAACAAUCAAUAAUAAUUUCUCAAUAUCAUAAAAUGCUGAGUUUGUGCAUGAAUUUGUCUCGCUUUUUUCCUGUUUGUUAGAAUUGGCAUCCAAAUAAGGUCCAUACAUUGUGGUUUUUUAAAUUUAUUUUUUAUUUUUUAUUUUUUUUUUGAGACAGAAUCUCACUCUGUCACCCAGGCUGGAGUGCAGUGGUGUGGUCUUGGCUCACUGCAACCUCUGCCUCCAGGGCUCAAGCGAUUCUAAGGCCUCAGCCUCCUGAAUGGCUGGGAUUACAGGUGCCUGCCACCACUCCUGGCUAAUUUUUGUGUUUUCAGUAGAGACAGGGUUUCACCAUUUUUGUCAGGCUGGUCUUGAACUCCUGGCCUCAAGUGAUCCACCCACUCCGGACUCCCAAAGUGCUGGGAUUACAGAUGUGAGCCAGUGCACCCAGCCCAUACAUUGUGUUUGAUAUGUCUUUUAUAAUUCCUCUAACCUGUAGGCUCCUAGCAUCUCUUUUUUUCCUUGCUAUUUAUUUGUUGAAGAAACUAGUUUGGUUUGCUACAGUUUUCCACAGCAUAGAUUUUGCAAUUUUGUAUCCAUGGUACAUUUUAACACAUCUCUCUGCUCUGAAAUUUCCUGUAAGUUGGUAGAUCUAGAGGUUUUUGGUUCAAUUUUUUUGAGGGCAAGAAUACUUAAUGAUGGGGUUAGAUUCUUCCAUCAGAAGUCACAUAAUGCCUGAUGGCCUAUUUAGCUCUUCUUUUUGAUGUUAGCAGCCACUGAUAAUUAUGUUCAGAAAUUUAUUAGGGAUGAUAAAAUGCUGAUAUUAUAAUUCAAUAGUUCCAGCUUCAUUUAUUAGCUGGAAUACUUUUAUAAAGGGAAACUUCCAUUUACCAACCAUUUGAAUACCAUGAGAUAGAGUUUAUACAGAAAAAAUAAAAAACAAUAUGUACACACACACACACACACACACACACACUCACACCUCAAACAAAAGCUUGAUUCUUUAAAAUAAUAUAUUGGUUCCCCAGUGUAGCACUGGCCACAAUAAUGUUGCCUCACAAAUCACCUCAAAACUUAGCAGAAUACAACAAUAAGCAUUUAUUCUCACACUGAGAAACAAGUGUGAAUGAGCUGAUUUAGAGUUGACUGACAGGCUUUGCUUCAAGCUGUGGCUCUGUCUGGGUUUGGCUUCUUGCUCCAGACUAGACACAGAACAACCCCAUGCAUAUUUAUUCUGGGGUCCAAAUGCAUAUGUAAAUUUCAAGCUUUUGCACCUCACUUCCAUGAUCUACUUAUUGGCCAAAGCAAAUCACAUGGCCAGAUCAAUACUACUAAGACAGAAAAGUACACUUUUCUUCUUCUUUUUUUUUUUUUUUGAAGACAAAGUCUCACUCUGUUGCCCAGGGUGGAGUGCAGUGGUGCGAUCUCGGCUCACUGCAACCUCCUCCUCCCAGGUUCAAGCGAUUCUCCUGCCUCAGCUUCCUGAGUAGCUGGGCCUACUGGUGUGUGCCACCACGUCCAGCUAAUUUUUGUAUUUUUAGUAGAGACAGGGUUUCACCACGUUGGCUGGGCUGACACUUUGUUACUAGUAGGAGGAGAGGGGAGAGAAUAUUUGUGGAAUUGCCUAUACAACAAAUGCUGCUAGAAUAAUUGGAUUUUCCUAUAGAAAAAAUAAAACCUAUCCUUCACACGAUGCACAAAUAUCAAUUCCAGGUGAAUUGUAGAUUUGCAUACAAUGGGCUAAACAUAAGCGAUGUAGAAGAUAAUAUAUCCAUCUUCAUUUUUUAUGGUGUAGGAAAAGACUUCUUAAAAAUGACGGAAAAAACAUUAACCCUAAAAGAAAAGAUUAUAAGUUGGAUUAUGUUAAAAUUAAUAACUACUGUUCAUCAAAUGACACUAUUAAGAAAGUGCACAGGUAAACCGCCAAGUUAGAGAAAGCAUCCGCAAAGCACAGAUGACAAAAAGAUCAUAUACAGAAUAUUUUAAAGAUCUGGAAUUUAUAAAGAGGUGAGAUUCAUAGAAGUAAGUCUAACAAAUUUGAUUGGUUAAAAAUGGCAUUUAUGUGAAAUUUUAAUAUAUAUUUCUCUUAUAAGUGACCUUGAGUAUCUUUUCAUGUGUGUAAGGGAGAUUUGUAUCUCUCUUUCCAUCCAUUCUUCUUGUCCUUUGCCCAUUUUUCUAUUUGAUUGUUGGUCUUCUGCUUCUAAGUGCUUUCAUGCAAAAAUAUAUACAUUAGAGAAAUUAGCUUUUUUUGUGAAACUAAUUGCAAAUAUUUUUCCCAGGCUUGUUAUCUGCUUUUUGCUUUUGCUUAUGAUACAUUUUUAGUUUUUGGAGUAUGCAAGAGUUUUUUACUUUAAGUAGCCAAUUUAUCAUAUUUUAUGACUUCUGAGUCAUAUUUAGAAAGGCCUACCACUCCCAUGUUAUAAUAAAAUUAAUUCAUGUUUUCUCAAGUAAUUCAAUGUUUUAAUUUUUGUAUGUAUUUUUUGAUUCAUUUAGAGUUUAUUUUUGUGUUGUGUAUGGUAUGGAUAAAAAAUUUAUUUCUUUCCAUAUGACUAUCUACUUGUUUCAAUAAUAUUUAUUAAAAAUGCCCAUUCACUUGUUGGAUCUACUUUUGUGUCCUUCAGACUUGUUUUAGCCCUAGUUCUACAGUUAAACAUAUUUGAUGCUCACCACAAGUUUUUAGUUUUUUUGGCCGAAAUUUCUCCAAUAACUUGUUGACUGGAUAAAGAUUAUUCUCUAGUAAAGUACUUAAUAAAGAGCUUGCCUUAGUCCAUUUUGUGCUGCUAUAACAGUAUACCUGACACUGGGUAAUUUAUAAUAAACAGGAAUUUAUUGGCUUACCGUUCUGGAGGCUGGCAAGUCUGAGACUAUGGCACAAGCACCUGGUGAAGGCCUUUCUGUUACAUCCUCACAUAGUGGAAGGCAGAUAGGCAUGAGCUCUCAUGACUUAAACACCCCCCAUUAGGCCCUACCUUUCAGAAUUAUCACAUUGGGAAUUACAUUUCCAACACAUAGAUUCUGGGGAACACAUUCAAACCAUAGCAGGGCUCAUGGAGCAAAAAGAUUUACCUAGUUACUACAUAUUCAAAACAGUUUUUAUCUGUAGCCUUUAUACUUUGAAGGACAGAUUGGCUGGACAUAAAAUCCUUGGCUCAUGCUAUCUUUUCUUUGAUGAGUCUCUUGUAGGUUCUUCUUCACAAUCUGUGUGUGAAUGUUGUUGUUGAGAAGCCUGAUGGCAAUCUAAUUUUUUCUCUUAUAAAUGGCUUGGUCUCUUCACAUGACUGACUAAAAAGUUUAUUUCUUCAUAUUUUAAGUACCAUAACAUGGUUUAGCAAUUACUAUUGCAAGUUAAUUCUCACAGGUAAAAGUGUGGCCUUUCAAUAUGUAGAGUUGUAUCUUUGAUUUCAAAACAUUUUUUCUUGAAUUAUUGUUUAAGGUAUUUACUCUUUUACAUUGGUUUUCUUCUUUUGGUACGUGAAUUAUAUGUAUGUUGGAUCUCCUUUGCCUGUCUUCUACAUUGAUCACUUUUGCUUUAAUUCUUUUUUCCUCCAAUUUUUUAUUGUGGUGAAAUACACAUACAGUUUAACAUCAUAAGUAUUAAGUGUACAGUUCUGAGAUAAUAAGUGCAUCAUAUUGUGUACAAACUCUCUCUAAUUCUUUUUUUUCUCUGUCUUUUUAAAAAAUUUUAGUUUCUUUGGACUUUUAAAUUUCUUUUCUCUAGACACCUGACAUGUGUUUUCUGGGGCACAUGCUCCCCUUUGUACUCCUUGUAUUUUAGUCUUAAUUCCUGAGAUGAUUAUGUCACUUCUCUUUCACAUCCUCCUAUUGCCGAGUUAAAUUCUUCUUUGAGGCCUUUUACUUCUGUUUUGUGAAUUUUUUUAUAGGUAGACAAUUAGGAAAAUUAUGUUGAAAUAUGUUUUCCCUCUGCCUAUUGGAACCUUUUUUAAUGAUGAGUUUUUUGUUAAUAAAAUAUGAUCUUAUGCCAUAUGUUUAAAUGGAGGCUUUGUUUGGAUGUGACAGUUUGCCUUUUUAUUAUUCGUAUUUGAAUGAGUUGGUUUUUUCUGGUCCAGUUGCUACAGGAGUAUCCUGUGACAGUUGUGUUUGGAGGUGGGAGAAAAUUAAUAUAGCUUCUCCUGUUUCUCAGCUCAUUGGCUCCUCCAUCUGUUGCACUCAAUUGGUAGUUUAUUGGAUAUAUUGUGAUACUACAUUUGUUCUCCUUGCACUCCCAGUCAUUUCUGUUGAUCUCCACCAGUUCUCAUGCAAUACCCUUUUCAUUCUUAGAACUGUCCAGAGCAGUGCCCCUCUAGGUGGUCCCUCACAUUCUGGUGAUGAAUAUCUGCUGUGGAUUCCAGAUUAUAAUGGUCUCUUUUUCCAUCUCCACGUUUCCUCAUAGCACUCACCAUUCCACUACCUCACCAUUCAUUGUUAUGGCUUCUAGUAUUAGUUUCCUGACUUGCUCUCUCCCCUCUCCACACUUACUUUCAUAUACCAAAAAGUUUGUGGCCAUUUUUGUCUUCUUAAAUUAUAUAUAUUUACAGCACACUACAUGAUGUUUUGGUACAUGUAUACAUUGUGAAAUGGUUAAAUCAAGCUAAUUAACAUAUCUAUCACCAUGCAUACUUGUUUUUUUUUGUGGUGAGAAGAUUUAAGAUCUACUCUUAGCAAUUUUCAAGUAUACAAUAUAUUAGUAUUAACUAUGAUCACCUUGCGGUACUACGGAUCUCCCAAACAUAUUCAUCCUUUGUAACUAAAAUUGGAUUUUUUUAAUCUGCUAAUUUUGCUAAAGGUGUAGGAUUUUAACAUAUUAAUUCUUCUUGUGUCUUUGUAUGGUUAUGAGAAAGAUACAUCAAAGAUUCCAUUCUAAGCUGUUGACAUGCUCUUAUAUGGCCAGGAGGCUACCUGAUUAUCUUAGAUACUGUAUUUGUUUUCUAUUGCUGCAUAACAAAUGGCCACAAACUUAGCAGCUUAAAACAACAACAUUUAUUAUUUCAUAGUUUCCAUGGGUCAGAAAUCUGGGCACGACUUAUGUAGGUCCUCUGCUAAAGUCCUUACAGGGCUAAGUUAAGGUCUGAAGGGCUGCAUUCUCAUCUGGAGGCUUGACUGAGGAAAAAUCUGCUCCCAAGCUCAUUCAGUUUGUUGGCAUCAUUCAUUUCCUUAUGGCUGUGUGACUGAGGCCCCUGUUUUCUUGUUAGAUGCUGGCCUGGAAUCAUUCUUAGCUCCCAGAGGCAUCUCUCAGAUCCACUCUGGGGCCCCCUUCAUAGGCCUUCUCACAACAUGACAGGUUACUCUUUCAAGCAGGAUCAUUUCUCUUCAGGAAGUAAGACAACUAGGUUGGGCACAGUGGCUCACACCUAUAAUCCCAGCACUCUGGGAGGCCAAGGCAGGUGGAUCUUUUGAGCUCAGGAGUUCAAGACCAGCCUGGGCAAUAUGGUGAAACUCCAUCUCUACACAAAUUCAAAAAUCAGCCAGGUGUAGUGGUGCACCUGGAAUCUCAGCUAUUUGGGAAGCUGAGGUGGGUGCACAGAAGGCUGGGAGGUCGAGGGUGCAGUGAGCCAAGAUUGCACCACUUCAUCACAGCCUGGGUGACAAAGCAAGACCCUAUCUCAACAAAAAAAGAAAAAAGAAAGAAAAGAAAGUAAGGCAACUAAACAUAUUGAGUAUGCCAAGAGAGUGCUCUUUCAAGAUGGCCGAAUAGGAACAGCUUCGGUCUGUAGCUCCCAGUGAGAUUGACGCAGAAGAUGGGUGAUUUCUGCAUUUCCAACUGAGGUACCUGGUUUAUUGGUUCAUCUCAUCAAGACUGGUUGGACCGUGGGUGCAGUCCAUGGAGGGUGAGCUGAAGCAGGGUGGGGCAUCACCUCACCUGGGAAGUGCAAGGAGUCAGGGAAUUUCCCUUUUCCAGCCAAGGGAAGCUGUGAGAGACUGUACCAGGAAGAACGGUACACUCCUGCCCAAAUACUGCACUUUUGCCAUGGUCUUUGCAACUGGCAGACCAGGAGAUUUCCUCUGGUGCCUGGCUCGGUGGGUCCCACGCCCAUGGAGCCCAGCAAGCUAAUAUCCAUUGGCUUGAAAUUCUCACUGCUAGAGCAGCAGACUGAAAUUGACCUGGAAUGCUGGAGCUUGCUGGGGGGAGGGGCAUCCACCAUUGCUGAGGCUUGAGUAGGCGAUUUUAUGCUCAUAGUGUAAAUAAAGCUGCCGGGAAGCUUGAACUGGUCAGAGCCCACUGCAGCUCAGCAAGGCUGACUGCCUCUCUAGAUUCCACCUCUGUGGGCAGUGCAUAUCUGAACAAAAGGCAGCAGCCCCAGCCAGGGACUUAUAGAUAAAACCCUCAUCUCCCUGGGACAGAGCACCUGGGGAAAGGGGCAGCUGUGGGCAAAGCUUCUCCAGACUUAAACGUCCCUGCCUGACAGCUCUGAAGAGAACAGUGGUUCUCCCAGUAUGGCAUUUGUGCUCUGAUAAUGGACAGACUGCCUCCUUAAGUGGGUCCCUGACCCCUGUGUAGCCUGACUGGGAGACACCUCCCAGUAGGGACAGAGAGACACCUCAUACAGGAGAGCUCUGGCUGGCAUCUUGUUGGUGCCCCUCUGGGAUGAAACUUCCAGAGGAAGGAUCAGGAAGCAAUAUUUGCUGUUCUGCAGCCUCUGCUGGUGAUGCCUAGGCAAUCAGCGUCUGGACCUCCAGCAAACUCCAACAGACCUGCAGCUGAGGGGCCUGACUGUUAGAAGGAAGACUAACAAACAGAAAGGAAUAGCAUCAACAUCAACAAAAAGGACAUCCACACCAAAACCCCAUCUGUAGGUCACCAACAUCAAAGACCAAAGGUAGAUAAAACCACAAAGAUGGGGAGAAACCAGAGCAGAAAGGCUGAAAAUUCCAAAAAUCAGAAGAUUUCUUCUCCAAAGGACCACAACUCCUCACCAGCAAGGGAACAAAACUGGAUGGAGAAUGAGUUUGAUGAGUUGACAGAAGUAGGCUUCAGAAGGUGGGUAAUAACAAACUUCUCCGAGCUAAAGAAGCAUGUUCUAACCCAUCGCAAGCAAGUUGAAAACCUUGAAAAAAGGUUAGGGGAAUGGCUAACUAGAAUAACCAGUGUAGAGAAGAACAUAAAUGACCUGAUGGAGCUGAAAAACACAGCAUGAGAACUUCAUGAAGCAUACAAAAGCUUCAAUAGCCGAUUUGAUCAAGGGAAGAAAGGAUAUCAGUGAUUGAAGAUCAAAUUAAUGAAAUAAAGUAAGAAGACAAGAUUAGAGAAAAAAGAGUGAAAAGAAAUGAACAAAGCCUCCAAGGAAUAUGGGACUAUGUGAAAAGACCAAAUCUACGUUUGAUUGGUGUACCUGAAAGUGACAGGGAGAAUGGAACCAAGUUAGAAAACACUCUUCAGGAUAUUAUCCAAGAGAACUUCCCCAACCUAACAAGGCAGGCCAACAUUCAAAUUCAGGAAAUACAGAGAAUGCCACAAAGAUAUUCCUCUAGAAGAGCCACCCUAAGACACAUAAUCAUCAGAUUCACCAAGGCUGAAAUGAAGAAAAAAAUGUUAAGGGCAGCCAGAGAGAAAGGUCCCACAAAGGGAAGCCCAUCAGACUAACAGCAGAUCUCUCGGCAGAAACUCUACAAGUCAGAAGAGAGUGGGGGCCAAUAUUCAACAUUCUUAAAGAAUUUUCAACCCAGAAUUUCAUAUCCAACCAAACUAAGCUUCAUAAAUGAAGGAGAAAUAAAAUCCUUUACAGACAAGCAAAUACUGAGUGAUUUUGUCACCACCAGGCCUGCCUUACAAGAGCUCCUGAAGGAAGCACUAAACGUGGAAAGGAACAACUGGUACCAGCCACGGCAAAAGCAUGCCAAAUUGUAAAGACCAUUGACGUUAUGAAGAAACGUCAUCAUAAUGUCAUCAUGCAUAAACGUUAGUUGUUUGCAUCAACUAACGUGCAAAACAACAAGCUAGCAUCAUAAUGACAGGAUCAAAUUCACACAUAACAAUAUUAACCUUAAAUGUAAAUGGGCUAAAUGCCCCAAUUAAAAGACACAGACUAGGAAAUUGGAUAAAGAGUCAAGACCCAUCAAUGUGCUAUAUUCAGGAGAACGAUCUCACAUGCAAAGACACACAUAGGCUCAAAAUAAAGGGACGGAGGAAGAUCUACUAAGCAAAUGGAAAGCAAAAAAGAAGCAGGAGUUGCAAUCCUCAUCUCUGAUAAAACAGACUUUAAAUGAACAAAGAUCAAAAGAGACAAAGAAGGCCAUUACAUAAUGGUAAAGGGAUCAAUUCAACAAGAAGAGCUAACUAUACUAAAUAUCUGUGCACCCAAUACAGGAGCACCCAGAUUCAUAAAGCAAGUCCUUAGAGACCUACAAAGAGACUUAGACUCCCACACAAUAAUAAUGGGAGACUUUAACACCCCACUGUCAAUAUUAGACAGAUCAUUGAGACAGAAAAUUAACAAGGAUAUCCAGGAAUUGAACUCAGCUCUGCACCAAGUGGACCUAAUAGGCAUCUACAGAGCUCUCCACCCCAAAUGUUGCAACAGAAUAUACAUUCUUCUCAGCAUCACAAUGCACUUAUUCUAAAAUUGACCACAUAAUUGGAAGGAAAACACUCUUCAGCAAAUGCAAAAGAACAGAAAUCACAACAAACUGUCUCUCAGACCACAGUGCAAUCAAACUAGAACUCAGGAUUAAAAAACUCACUCAAAACCACACAACUACAUGCAAACCGAACAACCUGCUCCUGAAUGACUACUGGGUCAACAACGAAAUGAAGGCAGAAAUAAAGAUGUUCUUUGAAACCAAUGAGAACAAAGACACAAUGUACCAGAAUGUCUGGGACACAUUUAAAGCAGUGUGCAGAGGGAAAUUUAUAGCACUAAAUGACCACAAGAGAAAGCAGGAAAGAUCUAAAAUCGACACCCUAACAUCAUAAUUAAAAGAACUAGAGAAGCAAGAGCAAACACAUUUAAAAGCUAGCAGAAGACAAGAAUAACUAAGAUCAGAGCAGAACUGAAGGAGAUAGGGACACAAAAAACCCUUCAAAAAAUCAAUGAAUCCAGGAACUGGUUUUUUGAAAAGAUCAACAAAAUUGAUAGACUGCUAGCAAGACAAAGAAGAAAAGAGAGAAGAAUCAAAUAGGUGCACUAAAAAAUAAUAAAGGGGAUAUCCCCACCGAUCCCACAGAAAUACAAACUACCAUCAGAGAAUACUACAAACACCUCUACGCAAAUAAAUUAGAAAAUCUAGAAGAAAUGGAUAAAUUCCUGGACACAUACACCCUCCCAAGACUAAACCAGGAAAAAAUUGAAUCUCUGAAUAGACCAAUAACAGGUUCUGAAAUUGAGGCAAUAAUUAAUAGCCUACCAACCAAAAAAAGUCCAGAACCAGACAGAUUCACAGCCAAAUUCUACCAGAGGUACAAAGAGGAGCUGGUACCAUUCCUUCUGAAACUAUUCCAAUCAAUAGAAAAAGAGGGAAUCCUCCAUAACUCAUUCUAUGAGGCCAGCACCAUCCUGACAUCAAUGUCUGGCAGAGACACAACAAAAAAGAGAAUUUUAGGCCAAUGUCUUUGAUGAACAUCAAUGCGAAAAUCCUCAAUGAAAUACUGGCAAGCCGAAUCCAGCAGCACAUCAAAAAGCUUAUCCACCACAACGAAGUCGGCUUCAUCCCUGGGAUGCCAGGCUGGUUCAACAUAUGCAAAUCAAUAAAUGUAAUCCAUCACGUAAACAGAACCAAUGACAAAAACCACAUGAUUAUCUCAAUAGACGCAGAAAAGGCCUUCGACAAAAUUCAACAGCCCUUCAUGCUAAAAACUCUCAAUAAACUAGGUAUUGAUGGAACGUAUCUCAAAAUAAUAAGAGCUGCUUAUGACAAGCCCACAGCCAAUAUCAUACUGAAUGGGCAAAAGCUGGAAGCAUUCCCCUUGAAAACCAGCACAAGACAAGGAUGCCCUCUCUCACCACUCCUAUUCUACAUAGUACUGGAAGUUCUGGCCAGGGCAAUCAUGCAAGAGAAAGAAAUAAAGUGUACUCAAUUAGGAAAAGAGGAAGUCAAAUUGUCCCUGUUUGCAGAUGACAUGAUUGUACAUUUAGAAAACCCCUUGUCUCAGCCCAAAAUCUCCUUAAGCUGAUAAGCAACUUCAGCAAAGUCUCAGGAUACAAAAUCAAUGUGAAAAAAUCACAAGCAUUCCUAUACACCAAUAAAAGACAGAGAGCCAAAUCAUGAGUGAACUCCCAUUCACUAUUGCUACAAAGGGAAUAAAAUACCUAGGAAUCCAACUUAUAAGGGAUGUGAAGGACCUCUUCAAGGAGAACUACAAACCACUGCUCAAUGAAAUAAAAGAGGACACAAACAAAUGGAAGAACAUUCCAUGCUCAUGGAUAGAAGGAAUCAAUAUCAUGAAAAUGGCCAUACUGCCCAAAGUAAUUUAUAGAUUCAAUGCUAUCAAGCUACCACUGACUUUCUUCACAGAAUUGGAGAAAACUACUUUAAAGUUCAUGUGGAACCAAAAAAGAGCCCUCAUAGCCAAGACAAUCCUAAGCAAAAUGAACAAAGCCGGAGGCAUCAUGCUACCUGACUUCAAACUAUACUACAAGGCUACAGUAACCAAAACAGCAUGGUACUUGUACCAAAACAGAGAUAUAGACCAAUGGAACAGAACAGAGCCUUCAGAAAUAACACCACACAUCUACAACCAUCUGAUUUUUGACAAACCUGACAAAAACAAGAAAUGGGGAAAGGAUUCCCUAUUUAAUAAGUGGUGCUGGGAAAACUGGCUAGCCAUAUAGAAAGCUGAAACUGGAUCCCUUCCUUACACCUUAUACAAAAAUUAAAUCAGAUGGAUUAAAGACUUAAAUGUAAGACCUAAAACCAUAAAAACUCCAGAGGAAAACCUAGGCAAUACCAUUCAGGACAUAGGCAUGGGCAAAUACUUUAUGACUAAAAUACCAAAAGCAAUGGCAACAAAAGCCAAAAUCGACAAAUGGGAUCUAAUUAAACUAAAGAGCUUCUGCACAGCAAAAUAAACUAUCAGCAGAGUGAACAGGCAACCUACAGAAUGGGAGAAAAUUUUUACAAUCUAUCCAUCUGACAAAGGGCUAAUAUCCAGAAUCUACAAAGAACUUAAACAAAUUUACAAGAAAAAACAAACAACCCCAUCAUAAAGUGGGCAAAGGAUAUGAACAGACACUUCUCAAAAGAAGACAUUUAUGCAGCCAAAAGACACAUGAAAAAAUCUUCAUCAUCACUGGUCAUUAGAGAAAUGCAAAUCAAAACUACAAUUAGAUACCAUCUCACGCCAAUUAGAAUAGUGAUCAUUAAAAAGUCAGGAAACAACAGAUGCUGGAGAGGAUGUGGAGAAAUAGGAACACUUUUACACUGUUGGUGGGAGUGUAAAUUAGUUCAACCAUUGUGGAAGACAGUGUGGCAAUUCCUCAAGGAUCUAGAACUAGAAAUACCAUUUGACUGAGCCAUCACAUUACUGGGUAUAUACCCAAAGGAUUAUAAAUCAUGCUGCUAUAAAGACACAUGCACACAUAUGUUUAUUGCAGCACUAUUCACAAUAGCAAAGACUUGGAACCAACCCAAAUGUCCAUCAAUAAUAGACUGGAUAAAGAAAAUGUGGCACAUAUACACCAAGGAAUACUAUGCAGCCAUAAAAAAGGAAGAGUUCAUGUCCUUUGUGGGGACAUGGAUGAAGGUCCAUCCAUCAUUCAUCCAAUGAUGGAUGAAGGAAGCCAUCAUUCUCAGCAAACUAUCACAAGGACAGAAAACCAAACACUGCAUGUUCUCACUCAUAAGUGGGAGUUGAACAAUGAGAACACAUGGACACAGGGAGGAGAACAUCACAUAUUGGGGCCUGUCAGGGGGUUGGGGGCUGGGGGAGGGAUAGCAUUAGGAGAAAUACCUAAUAUAAUGACGAGUUGAUGGGUGCAGCAAACCAACAUGGCACAUGUAUACCUAUGUAACAAACCCGCAUGUUGUGCACAUGUAACCCAGAACUUAAAAUAUAACUAAAAAAAAUUAUAUGUGAGUGACUUCGAGUUCCUAAUUAUUGUGAUUAAAAAUUCAAAGUGCUAUUUUGUUUAAUAAUUCAAUUUACAUAAUUUAUACAAAGUAGCUGUUUAUCCUAAUUGCUUUCAUUAGCAUUAACAUAUUAGCUAUAACUUUUACCUGUGGAAGGAACACUUUCUCUAAUUUUAAUGAAAAUACCAUUUGGGUAACAGUGGUCUUGCUUCAGACUUUCUGACAGCUAAUCCCUUGGUGUCCUUCGAUCUCCAGUUGGGGACUGCAGGAUCCUACCCAUUUUCCUUUCCUUUUGUGGGCUGUCACUGCCCCCUUUAUCACUUGGGUUUCUUCUCUUCCAUGUCUGGUCUUAGAGUGAGACAGUCUCUCAGUUCUCCCUAACUUGCUGUUCUAAAGAUGAGCUUAUAAACCAUUUUCAUUUUAAGGACUUAAUCAUGAUUGCAAAAGAUCCAAAAUCAUAAAUAAAAAUUUCAGACUCAUAGUGUCUGUCAUUGUCACCAACUAUAAUUCCCGGUCCCCUUCCUAGAUGUCUGUCUCUGAGGUCCUCACCCAAGAUUCCCCACCCUAUGGAAAAUGGAGGUCACUCAGCAUGUCUCCCUCAGAUGCUGGCAGCCAUGUGAGGCUGUGGGGUCUAGGAGAGGUCUCCUCAGCUUUUGUCCCUGAAGUGUGGUUUGGGCUGAUCAGAGUAUAGAACAGAGUGGGUAUCCAAGUAUCUUCUAAAGGGUGCAUGGUACUUUCCAAGACCUCUCGCCUGAGCAUUCCCCAUCCAGGGGGCUGCAGCUCAGGUACCCUUGGCUGAGCCUGACUGUAAAGUCUUAUGCAUCAACCUCUUCAGAGAAGAGACAGGGAUUCUUGGAGACCAGAGUUGAGGAUUGAGGGCCACUGUCAGGAAUGCGUGAGGAGGGGAGAGCCUUGGUUUGUUUCAAGGGAAGAGUUUGAAGUUGAGAUGAAGUGGUGGAUGAAUGGGCAUGAUAGCUACAGGGUCAGAAUAAGUUCUAGUGAUGACACAUUGCUAGCUGCCUCCUGGGAAUGUGCUUUUCAAUUUCUGUCCCUUCCUCCUGCCCCUGCUGGUGACUCCAGUGGAACCUGGAACAGAUAGAUCUUCAUUGGUAGGAAGUUCCCAGAUGUCAGGGACAGGACCCCCGGGACCCCAGUCUACAAGACAUAAGGGCUGGGGAUGAGGAAGGAACUCAGGGAGUGUUGGGCAAUCACACCCUUUCCCAGGGAGGAGCUACCUGGGCUUAUUCACAGGGCGGGUCCCCAGGUGCUCUCAGCCUGGGUCUGUUCCCACUUAAGUUUCUCUGGGUGCUGUAAACAGAGCUGGCUUGGAGCCUCAGCCCUCUGCCUUUCUCUUCUCUUCCAUCUUUUGUUAGGGAUCCUGGGCUCUCCUCUUCUCUCUGGGAAGCCAGAGCCCAAGUGCUCCAUUCCCAGGGAGGGAGUGCCCUCUAGGGCCAGGGGGAGUGAAGGCCUGAGGAGGCACCAGCUGGAGAAGAAGGGCAGGUCCUGGAGGCCAAGUCUGGAAGGGAAGGAGCUGCUGGCCAAUCAGGGGCGAGCCGACUGCACCCUGACCUGCUGGGCUGGAACAGCACAGAACCCACAGGUAUCUGUGAGUUUGAGUGUGUGUGUGUGUGUGUGUGUGUAUUUCUUUAGAAGUCUUCAUUCAGCAAUGGGACGGAAGUCUAUAGGGUUAAAAUGUGUACAUGGUAGGGAAAGCUCCCCUGAUCUCGUUUUUUGGAACUCUUUCUCCAAAUAAGAAAAUUUUCUUCAUUCUAAAUUCUUCUAAAUGAGUUUGGUUUCACCACUGCUGGAUCUUUCUUGGCAAGGCUGUGGGUUCUGAGGUUACCUCUACCCAAUUUCUUCCUUUUCUGUAGAGCCCUAAAUUCUUAUCUAUUAUGUCUCACUUGUCUCCUGGUCUAAUGUUUCUUUCAGUAUACAGGAUGCACAGCAAUGUGAGCCAAGGUGGUAAAUCCUUGGCUCUAGCUUAUCCUACCAGCUUAGUGUUUGCAGUUCAUGGUGUGGAUUGGAGACAUUAUCAGUUCUGUCUCUGGCAAGGUCAGGGACUGGGCUGAAGCCUUGAUAUUUUGGAUGUAUGAUAUGACCAGCUUGGGGCAGGAUUUGCCAUACUGACGUUUCAUGGUUGUGGAAGCACAGUGAUUAAGUGACCAGGGUGCAAACCAGAAUUGAUAGUGGCUUCCAGUAGCUUUGCAGGAGGCCAGCUCCUAACAGGCCUUCAAUCUUGGGAAAGUGAAUCCUUACCUCUCAUUUAACUAACGAGGGAGGCUGAACAUUUUUCCUUAUAUUUAUUAGGUGCCUGCCUCAUUUGUAAUUAGCUCAUUUUGUCUUCACUGCAGUUUUCCUGAAUGAAUGGAAUCCUGGGUGUUAUCUGCUAAGUGGUUGCUUGUCCUGACCCAGGAGGCUUCCACAUGUUC
rnacentral:lncRNA from 1 species